UUAGAGCAUAUUUCCUUGGAAGAAGGACAUUUUUCCUACAUAACUGCAGUGUGACCACCAGAAUCAGGAGAUUAACAAAUGUCCGGUUCUAGCAUCCUGCUCUGGGCCACCAAAGCUCCUUCACUCAGCCUCCUCUGCCACCAGAAUAGACCUUGCUAUACUUCACCUAAUGGACUUCAGAUGGAAUUGUCCAGGAAAGGGAUGGAAAAGAAGGCAAAAAAGAGGAAGGGACUGGGAAGAGGAGAAGGAAAAUACGAAGAGGAACUCAUAAAUGUAUUUUUCAAUAAAGCAAGAGCAAGU
rnacentral:lncRNA from 1 species